rnacentral:rRNA from 1 species
AGCAGUGGGGAAUAUUGCACAAUGGGCGCAAGCCUGAUGCAGCGACGCCGCGUGAGGGAUGAAGGCCUUCGGGUUGUAAACCUCUUUCAGUAGGGAAGAAGCGAAAGUGACGGUACCUGCAGAAGAAGCGCCGGCUAACUACGUGCCAGCAGCCGCGGUAAUACGUAGGGCGCAAGCGUUAUCCGGAAUUAUUGGGCGUAAAGAGCUCGUAGGCGGUUUGUCGCGUCUGCCGUGAAAGUCCGGGGCUUAACUCCGGAUCUGCGGUGGGUACGGGCAGACUAGAGUGCAGUAGGGGAGACUGGAAUUCCUGGUGUAGCGGUGAAAUGCGCAGAUAUCAGGAGGAACACCGAUGGCGAAGGCAGGUCUCUGGGCUGUAACUGACGCUGAGG